rnacentral:rRNA from 1 species
GACGAACGCUGGCGGCGUGCUUAACACAUGCAAGUCGAACGAAGUGGCGAACGGGUGAGUAACGCGUAAUCAACCUGCCCUUCAGAGGGGGACAACAGCUGGAAACGACUGCUAAUAUCGCAUACUGAAGGAGGGGAUUGAGUCUGAUUAGCUAGUUGGAGGGGUAACGGCUCACCAAGGCGAUGAUGAGUAGCCGAUGUGAGAGGAUGAGGAGCCACAUUGGAGCUGAGACACGGCCCAGACUCCUACGGGAGGCAGCAGAGGGGAAUCUUCCGCAAUGGACGAAAGUCUGACGGGGCAACGCCGCGUGAGUGAUAGCGGCCUUCGGGUUGUAAAGCUCUGUUAAUCGGGACGCGGUACCGGGAUAGAAAGCCACGGCUAACUACGUGCCAGCAGCCGCGUAAUUC